rnacentral:rRNA from 1 species
AUUGAACGCUGGCGGCAUGCCUUACACAUGCAAGUCGAACGGCAGCGGGGACUUCGGUCCGCCGGCGAGUGGCGAACGGGUGAGUAUGUAUCGGAACGUACCAUUCAGUGGGGGAUAACUAUCCGAAAGGAUGGCUAAUACCGCAUAUUCUGUGAGCAGGAAAGCAGGGGAUCGCAAGACCUUGCGCUGAUUGAGCGGCCGAUAUCAGAUUAGCUAGUUGGUGAGGUAACGGCUCACCAAGGCUACGAUCUGUAGCGGGUCUGAGAGGAUGAUCCGCCACACUGGGACUGAGACACGGCCCAGACUCCUACGGGAGGCAGCAGUGGGGAAUUUUGGACAAUGGGCGCAAGCCUGAUCCAGCCAUGCCGCGUGAGUGAAGAAGGCCUUCGGGUUGUAAAGCUCUUUCGGCCGGGAAGAAAUCGCAUCAGCUAAUACCUGGUGUGGAUGACGGUACCGGAAUAAGAAGCACCGGCUAACUACGUGCCAGCAGCCGCCGUAAAAC